AUGUAUGAUCGACUAAUUAAAAAUUGCAUAUUUCCUGGAAAACUAUAGUAGAAUGUAAUGCCGAAUCAUGAAUAGUAUUGGUUGAAAAGAAUCUCAAGUUCAAGGUCAAUUGAAGCUGAAUCAACUUUGUUUGGAGUUUGAUUAAUGUUCUACUCACUUCGAGAUCUUUAAUUUGUUCAUUCAAAAUAGAUUUUGUUUGAGUUGGCUCAAAUUUUGGUGGUCAAGCACAAUCAAAUAGAAGAUAGUUUGAACUCGAACAUUAAUUCUAAGCUCGAGUUUAGUUUCAAGCCAAUUUUGACCAAAUUUAAGCUCUCCAGCAAACUCCUCCAAUUAUACCCUUGUUGCUGAGAUUGCUAAGCUAAUUCCAUUGUUUACAUGUGAAAGUAAAAUAAUGGUUGUGAUCCCAUCUAAGAGACAGGCUGCUGCACCGACCCCGGUCCGGCUGCCGACCAAGGCUGUCAGCAUGUACUCUAACUUCAGCUGCCAUGGCUGUGAUAUCCAGGUCCUUCAACUAGUCCGUUCCAAGGGUGUCUCAACCUGGAGUUCCACUCCUCGCCGGACCUUUCUAUAGCUCCGCUUUAGCCUUUACCCUCUAUUUGACACAAAGGAUAGAUUGGAGGAAGGAAUUUGGGUUGCAAGAGAUAUACAA
rnacentral:lncRNA from 1 species